UAACAGUGAUAUAGAAAGGGUAGUAGAUACCUGGUAUAGCCUUCCAGUGGAGUGUGCCAUGCUGUUUGUUUACAGAAUUGUGGACCGAAGUGUGUCUAUCAGAUAUCAGGGUGUUACAGUGUGUGUGUAUUCGAUAUUGGGAUGUCUAUCAGAUUUCGGGGAGUCUUUCAGAUAUCCGGGUGUUACAUUGCGUCUGUCAGAUAUUGGGAUGUCUGUCAGAUUUCGAAGUGUUACAGUGUGUCUAUCAGAUUUCGGGGUGUUAUAGUGUGUCUGUCAAAUAUUGGGAUGUCUGUCAGAU